rnacentral:rRNA from 1 species
UACGUAGGGGGCUAGCGUUGUCCGGAUUUAUUGGGCGUAAAGAGCGUGUAGGCGGCCAGGCAGGUCUGCUGUGAAAACUCGAGGCUCAACCUCGAGACGUCGGCGGAAACCAUCUGGCUAGAGUCCGGAAGAGGAGAGUGGAAUUCCUGGUGUAGCGGUGAAAUUCGCAGAUAUCAGGAGGAACACCAAUUGCGAAGGCAGCUCGCUGGGACGUUACUGACGCUGAGACGCGAAAGCGUGGGGAGCAAACAGG